rnacentral:rRNA from 1 species
AGAGUUUGAUCCUGGCUCAGGACGAACGCUGGCGGCGUGCCUAACACAUGCAAGUCGAACGGAGUUGAAAGGAGCUUGCUUUUUUCAACUCAGUGGCGGACGGGUGAGUAACGCGUGAGUAACCUGCCUUUCAGAGGGGGAUAACGUUCUGAAAAGAACGCUAAUACCGCAUAAGAUUGUAGUUUCGCAUGGAGCAGCAAUCAAAGGAGCAAUCCGCUGAAAGAUGGACUCGCGUCCGAUUAGAUAGUUGGCGGGGUAACGGCCCACCAAGUCGACGAUCGGUAGCCGGACUGAGAGGUUGAUCGGCCACAUUGGGACUGAGACACGGCCCAGACUCCUACGGGAGGCAGCAGUGAGGGAUAUUGGGCAAUGGGGGAAACCCUGACCCAGCAACGCCGCGUGAGGGAUGACGGUUUUCGGAUUGUAAACCUCUGUCCUCUGUGAAGAUAGUGACGGUAGCAGAGGAGGAAGCUCCGGCUAACUACGUGCCAGCAGCCGCGGUAAUACGUAGGGAGCAAGCGUUGUCCGGAUUUACUGGGUGUAAAGGGUGCGUAGGCGGAUUGGCAAGUCAGAAGUGAAAUCCAUGGGCUUAACCCAUGAACUGCUUUUGAAACUGUUAGUCUUGAGUGAAGUAGAGGUAGGCGGAAUUCCCGGUGUAGCGGUGAAAUGCGUAGAGAUCGGGAGGAACACCAGUGGCGAAGGCGGCCUACUGGGCUUUAACUGACGCUGAGGCACGAAAGUGUGGGUAGCAAACAGGAUUAGAUACCCUGGUAGUCCACACCGUAAACGAUGAUUACUAGGUGUUGGAGGAUUGACCCCUUCAGUGCCGCAGUUAACACAAUAAGUAAUCCACCUGGGGAGUACGACCGCAAGGUUGAAACUCAAAGGAAUUGACGGGGGCCCGCACAAGCAGUGGAGUAUGUGGUUUAAUUCGACGCAACGCGAAGAACCUUACCAAGUCUUGACAUCCCUUGACAGGCAUAGAAAUAUGUUUUCUCUUCGGAGCAAGGAGACAGGUGGUGCAUGGUUGUCGUCAGCUCGUGUCGUGAGAUGUUGGGUUAA